UAAGGAAUAUUGGACAAUGCUCGCAAGAGUGAUCCAGCCAUGCCGCGUGCAGGAAGACGGCCCUAUGGGUUGUAAACUGCUUUUGAACUAGAGAAAACCCCAGUACGUGUACUGGGCUGAUAGUAUAGUUAGAAUAAGCAUCGGCUAACUUCGUGCCAGCAGCCGCGGUAAGACGAAGGAUGCAAGCGUUAUCCGGAUUCAUUGGGUUUAAAGGGAGCGUAGGUGGACUUAUAAGUCAGUGGUGAAAUCUCUGGGCUUAACCCAGAAAUUGCCAUUGAUACUGUAGGUCUUGAGUACAGUUGCUGUGGGCGGAAUAUGACAUGUAGUGGUGAAAUACAUAGAGAUGUCAUAGAACACCGAUUGCGAAGGCAGCUCACAAAGUUGUAACUGACACUGAGGCUCGAAAGUGCGGGGAUCAAACAGGAUUAGAUACCCUGGUAGUCCGCACCGUAAACGAUGAUUACUCGCUGCUGGGAGGUAACUUUCAGUGGCUUAGCGAAAGCGAUAAGUAAUCCACCUGGGGAGUACGCCGGCAACGGUG
rnacentral:rRNA from 1 species